rnacentral:rRNA from 1 species
CAGUCGCCGCGGGAAUACGUAGGUGGCAAGCGUUGUCCGGAAUUAUUGGGCGUAAAGGGCUCGCAGGCGGUUUCUUAAGUCUGAUGUGGAAGCCCCCGGCUCAACCGGGGAGGGUCAUUGGAAACUGGGAAACUUGAGUGCAGAAGAGGAGAGUGGAAUUCCACGUGUAGCGGUGAAAUGCGUAGAGAUGUGGAGGAACACCAGUGGCGAAGGCGACUCUCUGGUCUGUAACUGACGCUGAGGAGCGAAAGCGUGGGGAGCGAACAGGAUUAGAUACCCCCGUAGUCCCUGUCUCUUAUAC